CUGGCGGCGUGCCUAACACAUGCAAGUCGAGCGAGGAGAUCCUUCGGGAUGAUCCUAGCGGCGGACGGGUGAGUAACACGUGGGCAACCUGCCUCAUAGAGAGGAAUAGCCUUCCGAAAGGGAGAUUAAUACCUCAUAACAUUGCAGCUUCGCAUGAAACAGCAAUUAAAGGAGCAAUCCGCUAUGAGAUGGGCCCGCGGCGCAUUAGCUAGUUGGUGAGGUAACGGCUCACCAAGGCGACGAUGCGUAGCCGACCUGAGAGGGUGAUCGGCCACAUUGGGACUGAGACACGGCCCAGACUCCUACGGGAGGCAGCAGUGGGGAAUAUUGCACAAUGGGGGAAACCCUGAUGCAGCAACGCCGCGUGAGUGAUGACGGCCUUCGGGUUGUAAAGCUCUGUCUUCAGGGACGAUAAUGACGGUACCUGAGGAGGAAGCCACGGCUAACUACGUGCCAGCCGCGGC
rnacentral:rRNA from 1 species